UACGAAGGGGGCUAGCGUUGCUCGGAAUCACUGGCCGUAAAGGGUGCGUAGGCGGGUCUUUAAGUCAGGGGUGAAAUCCUGGAGCUCAACUCCAGAACUGCCUUUGAUACUGAGGAUCUUGAGUUCGGGAGAGGUGAGUGGAACUGCGAGUGUAGAGGUGAAAUUCGUAGAUAUUCGCAAGAACACCAGUGGCGAAGGCGGCUCACUGGCCCGAUACUGACGCUGAGGCACGAAAGCGUGGGGAGCAAACAGG
rnacentral:rRNA from 1 species